rnacentral:rRNA from 1 species
UACGAAGGGGGCUAGCGUUGCUCGGAAUCACUGGGCGUAAAGGGUGCGUAGGCGGGUCUUUAAGUCGGUGGUGAAAUCCUGGAGCUCAACUCCAGAACUGCCUUCGAUACUGAGAGUCUCAGAGUCCGGGAGAGGUGAGUGGAACUCCGAGUGUAGAGGUGAAAUUCGUAGAUAUUCGGAAGAACACCAGUGGCGAAGGCGGCUCACUGGCCCGGUACUGACGCUGAGGUGCGAAAGCGUGGGGAGCAAACAGG